UACGAAGGGUGCAAGCGUUAAUCGGAAUUACUGGGCGUAAAGGGUGCGUAGGCGGUUCGUUAAGUCUGUCGUGAAAUCCCCGGGCUCAACCUGGGAAUGGCGAUGGAUACUGGCGAGCUAGAGUGUGUCAGAGGAUGGUGGAAUUCCCGGUGUAGCGGUGAAAUGCGUAGAGAUGGGGGAGAACACUCGUGGCGAAGGCGGCCAGCUAGACCAGUUCUGACACUGAGGCGCGACAGCGUGGGGAGCAAACAGG
rnacentral:rRNA from 1 species